rnacentral:rRNA from 1 species
AAUCAACGCUGGCGGCGUGCCUCAGACAUGCAAGUCGAACGAUUAAAGCUCUCUUCGGAGAGUGCAUAAAGUGGCGCACGGGUGAGUAACACGUAAGUAAUCUACCUUCGAGUGGGAUAACGUCCGGAACGGACGCUAAUACCGCAUAACGCAGCGGCAUCGCAAGAUGACAGUUGUUAAAGAUUUAUCGCUUGAAGAGGAGCUUGCGGCAGAUAGCUUGUUGGUAAGGUAACGGCUUACCAAGGCUACGAUCUGUAUCCGGUCUAAGAGGACGGUCGGACACACUGACACUGAAUAACGGGUCAGACUCCUACGGGAGGCA